rnacentral:misc_RNA from 1 species
CCGAGUUUACAACUCCCAAACCCAAUGUGAACAUUACCUAACUGUCGCCUCGGCGGGGAUCCUGCCCCGGGCGCCUCGUGUAGCCCCGGAUCCAGGCGCCCCGCCCUAGGAACCAACCUAACUCUUGUCUUUAUUCCCUCGCGGACGUAUUUCUGAGCUAGCUCUUUAGCAAAAUUCAAAAUGAAUCAA